rnacentral:rRNA from 1 species
UACAGAGGUCUCAAGCGUUGUUCGGAUUCAUUGGGCGUAAAGGGUGUGUAGGUGGCGCUGUAAGUCGGGUGUGAAAUUUCGGAGCUUAACUCCGAAACUGCAUUCGAUACUGCGGUGCUUGAGGACUGGAGAGGAGACUGGAAUUCAUGGUGUAGCAGUGAAAUGCGUAGAGAUCGGGAGGAACACCAGUGGCGAAGGCGGCUCGCUGGGCCGGACCUGACGCUGAGACGCGAAGGCGUGGGAGGCGAACGGG